rnacentral:lncRNA from 1 species
GCUGUGAAGGGGUAACCCAGAAGGGGGAUAUAGUUUGAGAUGUAAACAAAUGGAAUGAUUAAUUGAAAAAGUAAAAAAAAUAAAAUAAAAAAUAAAAAAUAAAACCUUACUUUGGUUUCACUUUUCCAAAGAUGGGAUUUGGAAAGGGCCCUGAAGUGUAAAGCAGGCGUCUGAAGAAACAACUUGACAGCUUUUAUAAACCCAUUUACAAAAUUUAAACUGGGCCUUUUAUUCAUUCUCUGCUGUUAUUAUGAGAAAAAUUUUCACUUAAUACCUUAAUGUAUUAGAUGGGCACAGGUAUUGCAUUUUUUCUUUAAAGAAACAAAUAGUUAUUUAAAAUAUUUCAUCUGCUUCUGCGACUGAUCCAGGAGGAAUGCAGAUCUAUCUAGCAGUCUCCUUGUCUUUAGUCUUGAGAACUGCACGCGUCAACAUAAACCUAGCGUUCUCAAGCCUUAUAGCGAUUGGAAAGGACCCUGGCUCUGCGUGUACAUCUGCAUACAGGUUUGCUUGAUUAAUUGCUACUUGACUUCUCUAUCAUAAUGCUAAGCUUUGGGAUCAUAAAAGAUCAGACUCCCAAACCUCUUCCUGGAAUUAAUUUAAAUAUUUAAUGUCAAAACCUUGGAAAGAUUCAGAAAAAACUGGUUUCUUUUGUUAGUAGUAGACUAUUUUAGUAUGGUCCCUUAAAAACAAAAGUUUCAUAUUAAUUCAUUAUUCUGAUCUCUCCAUGUAAAAAUUGUAACAAUAUUAGUAAAAUACAAUUAAAUUAUGUAAUAAUGUAUAUAUUUAAAUUUUAUUCAAUCUAAAAUGUCUGAUAAGUGUAUAACUCAUAAAUAUGUAAAGGAAGUUGAGUUUUCAGAGGUUUUUUAAAUUAUCAUUGAAAAAUCAAAGUACUUUUUAUUUUUAGUAUCUGAUUUUUAUUUAUUCACAAUGUUGAUAUUAGAUAAAAUUUACAGACACAAAUGAAACAUGGAAUUAUUAAAUGGGCAAUUUGAUGCUUAUACUCAUAUCACCACAUCCCUGUGAGUACCUAGAACACUUCUAUGUCUUAAUAUUCUAAGAGGUUUCUAUUAUUUAUAUCCUUUUUCAUUACCCCUGCUCAAUCCAGAGAGCUUCUCUGAUCUGUUUAAACUACAGAUUUGCUUUUUAUUUAUAGAACUUCAUGUACACAGAAUCAUUUCGUUAGCAAAAUAUUUGUGUAUUCAUUUUUCCAUAAGUUUAUUCAUUUUAUUAGAAAGUAACAUUGUUCAUUGUUUAAUAUUACAUUUGUAUUCAGUCUUUUGUAAAUGCUCAUUACAAUCAUUCAAGUUAUUACAAUGUAAAAUGGCUUUGACAGUUCCCAUACAAGGAUUUCUUUGUGUGGAUGCAUAUUUUCUUUUCCUGGUCAAAUACCUGAGUCAUAAAAGAGAAAUAUACUAAUUUCAAAAUAAAAUAUACAUAUUUAUAGAAGAGACUGCAUUAUUUUAUACUCAGUAAUUGAAGUUCAGCUUCCCCCAACAUAUACUAAUCAAUCUUUUGUUAAUCACGGUCAUUUCAGUAAAUGUGCACUGGUAUGGCAUUCUCUAUUUAAUAUCCAUUUCUCAGUGACUAAUGGUGUUGAACAUUUUAUUUAUUUACUGUCCAGUGGUCAUGCUUUUCUCUUUGAAAUAUUUCUUUAAAUCUUUUACAAUUUUUUAAUUUGGCAAUUUUUCUUUUUAUUGUUGUCUUAUAGAGAAUUAUGGAUUCUGAAUGAAUUAUGUUUAUCAAUCAUACUUUCUCCUAGAGUAUUUAUUUACCUGUUCAUUUUAUUUUAUUAAAAAAUAUUUUCAAAAAAACCC